rnacentral:rRNA from 1 species
CGCCUGGGGAGUACGGUCGCAAGAUUGAAACUCAAAGGAAUUGACGGGGGCCCGCACAAGCGGUGGAGCAUGUGGUUUAAUUCGAUGAUACGCGAGGAACCUUACCAGGGCUUAAAUGUUCCUGACAGCUUUAGAGAUAGAGUUUUCUUCGGACAGAAUACAAGGUGCUGCAUGGUUGUCGUCAGCUCGUGCCGUGAGGUGUCAGGUUAAGUCCUAUAACGAGCGCAACCCUUGUCGUUAGUUGCCAGCAUUUCAAAUGGGGACUCUAGCGAGACUGCCGGUGCAAACCGGAGGAAGUGGGGAUGACGUCAAUCAUCACGGCCCUUACGUCCUGGGCCACACACGUGCUACAUGUAUAGACAAUGAUAGCCACUACGCGAGUAGGCGCGAUCUAUAAACUAUAUCACAGUCGGAUGGGAGUCUGCACUCACUCCGUGAGCUGGAUCGCUAGUAUCG